CCUACGGGAGGCAGCAGUGAGGAAUAUUGGUCAAUGGGCUUACGCCUGAACCAGCCAAGUCGCGUGAGGGAAGACUGCCCUAUGGGUUGUAAACCUCUUUUGUCAGGGAGCAACGCCGGCUACGUGUAGCCGGACUGAGAGUACCUGAAGAAAAAGCAUCGGCUACCUCCGUGCCAGCAGCCGCGGUAAUACGGAGGAUGCGAGGGUUAUCCGGAUUUAUUGGGUUUAAGGGGUGCGUAGGCGGAAUGCAAGUUCGGCGGUAAAAUCGCGGGGCUAAACCUCGCUUCGCCGUUGAAACUGGCGGUCUUGAGUGGGCGAGAAGUAUGCGGAAUGCGUGGUGUAGCGGUGAAAUGCAUAGAUAUCACGCAGAACUCCGAUUGCGAAGGCAGCAUACCGGCGCCCAACUGACGCUGAAGCACGAAAGCGUGGGUAUCGAACAGGAUUAGAUACCCCUGUAGUC
rnacentral:rRNA from 1 species